rnacentral:rRNA from 1 species
CAGCCGCCACGGUAAUACGAGGGGUGCAAGCGUUAUUCGGAUUGAUUGGGUGUAAAGGGUGUGCAGACGGCUUAUUAAGUCACUUGUUAAAUUCUUCGGCCUAACUGAAGGUCUGCAAGUGAUACUGAUGAGCUAGAGGGUGGAAGAGAGAAGUAGAAUCCUCGGAGUAGCGGUAAAAUACGUAGAUCUCGAGAGGAACACCAAUGGCGAAGGCAGCUUCUUGGUCCAUUCCUGACGUUCAUACACGAAAGCGUUGGGAGCAAACAGGAUUAGAUACCCGAGUAGUCCCUGUCUCUUAUAA